CACUAGGCCCUUUUCAGGGCCACUAUUUUGUAUUGAAAUCAAAUAA
rfam:Operophtera brumata OBRT01_Sc02093, whole genome shotgun sequence.